rnacentral:rRNA from 1 species
AUUACUCCUACGGGAGGCAGCAGUGGGGAAUCUUGCGCAAUGCGCGAAAGCCUGACGCAGCAACGCCGCGUGGGGGACGAAGGCUCUCGGGUUGUAAACCCCUUUCAGGAGGGACGAAAUUGACGGUACCUCCAGAAGAAGCCCCGGCCAACUACGUGCCAGCAGCCGCGGUAAUAAU